UCUAAGAUAGAGAAUUUAGGACUGCUGCAGAGUUUACUCACUGUAAUCUUUCUCUCCUCAUUGAUUUGCUGCAGAACAGGCAUAACCAAAAGUGAGCUUUCACCACACUAACACCACAACACAGGCCUGAUGCAAGGUCAGCGGGAGGCUUCACAAUGACUUCGGAUUUUGCUGUUACUCACAGCUGCAGACAGAAAGCUCACAGCGACCUUCUGAGACCAGCAUGUCACUGCUCUCCAGCAUCUGCAUAUUUUACAAGUGAUAAAUCUUGCCUGGUUUCAUGAGAGAUGUGAAUGCUUGGAGCUCGUGGGAAGUACUCUGCUGAUAUAAAAAGAAUAAACAAGUUAAAGAUGGUAGAGC